GCUUUGUUUACCUAAGCGAGCCUGGGCAAUGGCGGGCGCCCCUCCCCCAGCCUCGCUGCCAACUUGCUGUUUGAUCUCAGACUGCUGUGCUGGCAAUCAGCGAGACUCCGUGGGUGUAGGACCCCCUGAGCCAGGUGCGGGCUAUAAUCUCCUGGGGCAAUUUUUCCUAAGCCCGUCAGAAAAGCACAGUAUUCGGGUGGGAGUGGCCCGAUUUUCCAGGUGCAGUCUGUCACCCCCGGAAAGGGAACUCCCUGACCCCUUGGGCUUCCCGAGUGAGGCAAUGCCUCGCCCCUGCUUAGGCUGGUGCACGGUGCACUCACCCACUGACCUGCGCCCACUGUCUGGCACUCCCUAGUGAGAUGAACACAGUACCUCAGAUGGAAAUGCAGAAAUCACCCGUCUUCUGCGUCGCUCACGCUGGGAGCUGUAGACCGGAGCUCUUCCUAUUCGGCCAUCUUGGCUCUUCCUCAAACGGUGUAUUUUAAAAUUUCCAAUUUAUUAGUCUUGGAAGGCAUAGCCAUAAUGAACAUGAGAGGAAAUCUCUAGCAGUCAAAUGAGGACUUUCAGAAGAAAUGGAAUUUGUCUUGUUUAUGUCUAUGCUGCCAACACCCAUGCGCAUGGCUGACAUAUCAUGGGAUUUUCCAAAAGGAGCAGAAAGUCAGUAGGAGAAAAGUUGGAGCUGCGCAUCCUCAGUGAGUUGCUCCUUCUGUUAUACACAGAAAAUUAAAAGUUGAAUGAAACCCCCAGCUAAGAAAUACCAAGUUCGACUAAAUUAAUAAAAUGUGUGCUGUGGGCUGAAGAUGUAUAUUCUGGCAUUCCUGCUUUCCUCGAAUGUCCUGCCAAGGCAUUUCUGCCUGAAUACACUCAGACCAAGGAUAGCAUAUUAGAGAAAAAUUUAUUUUCCAAGCUGGAUGAAUCACUGCUUUUUCUCUGAAUUUCGGCUCUCCGUGACUAUGGUGGAGAAGCUGUUGACAAAGUGUUGUAUGCAGGGGCCACCUUUGACUAUCUUAUCCUUUUCUUUAUCUCCACCUUAUACUCAUCUAUAGUUCUAUGAACUCUAUCUUCCUCUCCCUAUUGUUGGAAAUUCUCUUUCCGAUUCUGAAAUCUAAACCAGAAUUCGACGUGGAAGUCUGAUAAAGAUUAUUACCUUUAUUAUUGCCAAAACUAGGUUGGAAAAUGAAGCCUGAAUUGAUGGUCAAAAUGAGGCUUCCCACUGCUUUACCCAGGUUUGAAUCUCAGGAUUCAUCUGGGGAAACCACUGUACAGCCUACACUAUGUAGCAGGCAGCACAGGGAACAGGAACUCACCUCACACCUCUGAGUAGAAACCCUGAGAACAGGGAUCUCUAAGAAGACAUGGGCCUGCUGAGUUGCCUCUGAAAGGCAGUCCCUGGACUCUGACAAAGGUUUGUUAGUGUGUGGCGGACUCCGGUGGAGAAGGGCAAUGACCCCUCCUUCAUACAGGUCUGUCCUCAAAGGCAACCAGAGGCAAAGCCUGCACAGUGGAGCCAUUUCCUUUCCCCAGUGCUGUCCAUUGGGUCAAUCAAUUCUCCUCCUGGGAGCAGAGUGAGCAGGUGGGUUGGUGGAGUGGUGGAGAGGAGGUCUGAAGCCACCUUUCAUACUUUUUUGGUGGUGUUUGUAUUUUAUGUGUUGUUGUUGGGAAAUGUGGAGAGAAGGUAAAAGAAGUGCUUUUCCAUGUUAUUCUCCUCAAUCAUCAACUUAAUCAGGACUUCGAGAUAUCUACAUUGAAUUGAUGACUGUCUGACUGCACUUAAAAUCCAUUGGAAUAAAUGUUCUCUUAAAAAUAAGAUUAUGUCACCCCCCCAGUUAAGAUUUCCCUAUUGGUUUUCCCUAGUUGUUUGGAUGUAAUCCAAAAUCCAUGCUGUCUUGCCAUGGCAUUCUAGCCUUUUUAUACCCAAAUCGAUGAUAAACUAUUCAGUCUGAUUUGUCAUCACACUCGCUGUCAACUUUUGCUCCAGGCUUAUCGAACUCUUUGCAGUUUUCCAAGCAUGCAUGUCUUUGCCUAACCCGUUGCCUUCAUUUUUGCUGCUCCCUUCCCCAGAAAUACAUUCCUUUGCUUUCUUUAUCUGGAUAGAUCUCAUUGAGCCUUCAGAACUCAGCCUAGGUAUAAUUAGCUCCUAUUGGACACCUUCACUGAAUUAUUGAGGCGUGCCACCUCAAGUGAGGUUAGGUUUCUUCCAAUGUUCCUUAUAGUAUUUCCUGCUUGUAUACUGUGAUAGGGUCUUCUUAUCUGCAUAUUCAUAUUGAAUGUAGUCCCUAGCAUAUAAUAAACCAUUGAUAACUAUUGCCAGCAUCUCUCACAUUGCUUCCUUCCUU